GAAAAGAUAAGGAGUUUUGAAAGCAAAGUUUUAAAAGAAACUUCGAGAAAAGUGCUUAGAAGUACAAAGCAAACAUAGAUCUGAAGCAGAUCUGAAAGAAAUCGAAAGAACCUUAGAGAUUAGGGUUUAAAAGAACCCCAAAUGAUGAGAAAGGCCCGGAGAAAGGUCAGCGAUGACUGGGAAAUGGUCAUCGAGCAAAGACUGGACAAAACUCCUUCAGGAUCUAGUCAUGAGACCACAGAAACGAACACAUAGAAGCCAUGUGAGGUUGAUACAGGUCUCCGAUGACCUUGGAAUGUCAUGGAUUAGGGCGGAUUAGGGUGGCGGAAACUAGGGUUUUAGGGUGCUGUAUAGAGUAUUUGAUAGAGGAGGGGGAUUCAGAG
rnacentral:lncRNA from 1 species